UACGGAGGAUGCAAGCGUUAUCCGGAUUGACUGGGCGUAAAGCGCACGCAGGCGGAUGCGCGCGUGGGGUGUGAAAUCUGGCCGCUUAACGGCCAAGCGCCAUCCCAUACGGCGCGUCUGGAGUGAUGCAGAGGUCGAUGGAAUUGCCGGUGUAGUGGUGAAAUGCGUAGAGAUCGGCAGGAACACCCAGGGGGAAACCAGUCGACUGGGCAUCUACUGACGCUGAGGUGCGAGAGCGUGGGGAGCGAACCGG
rnacentral:rRNA from 1 species